UACGGAGGGAGCAAGCGUUACUCGGAAUUAUUGGGCGUAAAGGGCGCGUAGGCGAUCUGACAAGUCUGGUGUGAAAGCCCACAUGUUAACUGUGGAAGUGCAUUAGAAACUGUUGGAUUUGAGUUCAGGAGAGGAAGGCAGAAUUCCCGGUGUAGCGGUGAAAUGCGUAGAGAUCGGGAGGAAUACCAGUGGCGAAGGCGGCCUUCUGGAUUGACACUGACGCUGAGGCGCGAAAGCCAGGGGAGCAAACGGGG
rnacentral:rRNA from 1 species